CGGCACCAGGCGGCGAAGCUCUCCGAGUUGCGCCAGCUCAGCUCGCGCUCCUUGGCGCCCACGUGCGCCAGCGCGUUGCGCACCACGGCGCUGGGGCUCAGCGGCUUGUAGCGGUAUAGAUCGUUUACCACGCGGCCGCGCCGGCCCUGGCUCGCGUCCGUCAGGAAGCUGUUGCUCACCUCCAGCCGGUGCAAAUGCACCACCUGGAAGUUGCCCACGUAGACAGCCCAGUGUGGGUACUGCGCCUGCGACACGAACUCCACCAGGUCGCCAGGCCUGCACUUGUUGAGCAGGUUCUCGGGCGUGUAGGUGCUCAGGGCCGCGGAGCCCGGCGCGAAGCUUUUCUGGUAGAUGCACUCGUCACGGUAGAACACAGAGCACUCCACCUCGUGCAGCCGCGGGUCAUAGGGCUGCGGCGAGGGCAGCGGCAGCCCCUCCCCGCCGUCGGGCAAACCGCCGCCACCGCCAUCCGGUCCCUGGGGCGGCGGCUGCGGCUCCACGUCCUCGUCGUCAUUGGAGAAGAUGUAGGAGACCCCGAUGCGGGGCCCGUCAUCCCGGUCCACGCCCGUCGGGUCGGCAGUGGGAACUUCCUUAUAACUUAGGUGGGUCAGUUUCUCCACCUGGUUGCCCAUCACGCUGCGGACACACGUUCACACCGCCGUGAGAGGAGAAAGCGAAACCACCACUAGGGUCAUUGGCACAGGUCCCCAGACAGGGGCCCAGACCACCUGUUGGGAGAGGAAGGCAAGGAAGCCAGAACCGAUUUCUUGCCAAAGGUCACAGAAGAGAAUUUUGUACUAGGACAGCUGGAGAAGUGCUUCCGUUUAGAGGGCUGGAUCAAGGCAACGCUUGCUUCUCCAAGGGUGGUUACCACCAGGCAGUACGGGCCUCACGCGGGAGCUGAGCUUGCUGGAAAUGCAGGAUCUCAGACUCCGCCCCUGAUUGGCUGAACCAGGAUCCGCUGUUUAACAAGAUCACCAGGUGAUUCUGAUAAAAGCCAGCAUGUCCUCUAGUGAGACUGACAAUUUUGUGAGCACGGAGCCAGGAAAAGGCAGCAAACCAAAGUGAACAGUCAGCUAAGUAGAGUUUGCUGGAGAUUUACGCAGAAACCUACCCACAGAAGCAGGGCUGAUGGAUUUAUAACUGACGGGAUAAUUUGUUCUUGUGUGCUAAGAUAAGGGUAAACAAAUUUCAUGCUGUGAUGUAAGCCCCUAUCUGCAGAAGUCAGGAGAGAUUCCCUGCCCUGUUGCUGAAUCGUGUGCUUGACAAAUUAUCCUCAGAGGCUUAUUUUAAGAGACUUUAUCUGGAGGUCUCACUGGGGCCCAAAUGUGAAAGGUGGAAGGACAUGCCUGGGGGCAGAGGAGGGGGACUCUUCUGUCCCUGCACAUCUGGAAGCUCAGAAAUGAAAGUGGCACGGGGCUAUAGUAUUUGGAAAAUCCUGGAGAGGAGCUGGGAUGGAAGCGAGUAACUGUGUGAUCCCUGAGCCUGAUUGAGGAAAUAAGCCAGAAAACGUGUGUUCGCAUUUCAGCCCAUCUUGGCCUUGGUCCAGCAGUCAUACCCACCCUAGACCUGCCUCUGCCCUUUAUUUUGUCAACAGCAGGUAAAGUGCUCUUAGUUUCCAGAGCUUCUCAUCACACUUCCUGGGAAGGAAGCCCUUACUGAGCUCUAGGAACUGGCUGGCUGUCUCCACCACACCUCUAGAGGACAAAGGCAGAGUCUUGAUAAUCUUUAUAUCCCUUAUGUGUAAGUUUUCUAUAUGUGCUAAAAAUGUUUACAGAAAUAAAAAAGAAAGCUGGAGCUCUGAGGGUGAACCUCUUUAAGAAAUACAGGAAUGUAACUUAAAUUUUGCAAAAUUAUCAUUAUCCUAUAAUAUUUACUAUUUGGUGUUCUACCAUUUUAAAAAUAAUUCUAAUUAAUCUAUAUGUAAUUAUUAUUAUCCCACUUUACAGAUAUUGAAACUGAGGGUCCAGAGCCAAGAAAACACAGCUCUCAUGUAAUGAAGCCAGGAUUCAAACCUACUACUGUUAGAUGUCCAACCCCACUUUGUCCAAGCUGAUGCUAGAGUCAUGAUUCCAGGCCCUCCGUGUUCCUUUGGGGACUUCCCUGAGCCUAGGCCUGGGCCCCAUGUUUCCCAUUUGUAAAACUGGGGGAGGCAUGGACUAGGAUCCCACAGGCUGCUUGUCAGUGGGUGUCAGAAGUGCAGGAGAAGAAGGUGAGCAGCCCGGGAUGCUGGGCUUUAAGGCUUGAGCAAUGUCAAGUGGGAGUCCCCAAUAAAUUGAGAUGUUGCCACACAGACUUGGGAAUGAGAAAAAUUAACAGAGAGCCAGUCACUAUCACAAGGGCUUCAAGGGGCAAUUCAACCCAGGGACCAGAAGUCCAGUCUAAGACUGAUGAGUGACCAGGCUGGUGGGAUAGAAAACAGGUUGAUCCCAAAGAUGUGUGUGGCCACAGUUGUGUGGAGAGUAAGGCCAGACACACAUGCAUGCACAUGUGCACACCCACACAUGGAUACAGCCAUCAAGAGAGCAUCUGUGUGCAGCCAGAGAUACAAGAGACAGGGUAAGAUUCUUUUAUGUUGCAGGUAAUAUCACCCCGACUCUCAGGCUUCCCCUACGUAGGACUUUGCAGAUUAUUAAAGUCUCUUAUUAGUCAUACUUUCCAUAUUCCUGGUGCAGACAGUGUGUAUAAUAUAUUACAUUUUAUGGAAAACAAAGGAUGAGAUAUGUAAUAUAUAUAUUCAUGUUU